rnacentral:SRP_RNA from 1 species
GCCGGGCGAAGUGGCGGGCGCCUGUAAUCCCAGCUACUCAGGGGGCUGAGGCAGGAGAAUGGCUUGAACCCAGGAGGUGGAGGUUGCAGUGAGCCAAGAUCAAGCCACUGCAUUCUAGCCUGGGCAACAGAGCAAGACUCUGUCUCAA